rnacentral:rRNA from 1 species
CAACGUGGGUUACGUGCCCCGAUGAUUGGGACAACCCGAGGAAACUCGGGCUAAUACCAAAUGUGCUCGUGUCCGUGAUGGACUCGAGGAAAGGAAGCUUCGGCCUCCGCAUCGGGAUCGGCCCGCGGCCCAUUAGCUAGUUGGUGGGGUAAUGGCCUACCAAGGCGACGAUGGGUAGCUGGUCUGAGAGGACGAUCAGCCACACUGGGACUGAGACACGGCCCAG